rnacentral:rRNA from 1 species
UACAGAGGUCCCAAGCGUUGUUCGGAUUCAUUGGGCGUAAAGGGUGCGUAGGCGGCGCCGUAAGUCAGGUGUGAAAUUUCGGAGCUUAACUCCGAAACUGCAUUUGAUACUGCGGUGCUUGAGGACUGGAGAGGAGACUGGAAUUUACGGUGUAGCAGUGAAAUGCGUAGAGAUCGUAAGGAAGACCAGUGGCGAAGGCGGGUCUCUGGACAGUUCCUGACACUGAGGCACGAAGGCCAGGGGAGCAAACGGG